rnacentral:rRNA from 1 species
GCCUGAUCCAGCAAUGCCGCGUGAGUGAUGAAGGCCCUAGGGUUGUAAAGCUCUUUUACUAGGGAUGAUAAUGACAGUACCUAGAGAAUAAGCUCCGGCUAACUCCGUGCCAGCAGCCGCGGUAAUA